CAGGAUAAAAUCUUCAAGGGGAUAUUAGAUUCAGCUAUCCCUAAAGAUUGGCAUCUUAUUAUUUUGGACCCAAAAGAUUGCUUCUUUUCUAUUCCCCUGGCCCCCCAGGAUCACAAAUGUUUUGCUUUCUC
rnacentral:sRNA from 1 species